UGAGACAGGGUAGCUGCGCACUCCAA
rnacentral:piRNA from 1 species